rnacentral:rRNA from 1 species
CUUAUUUCAGAAAAUCAGAGUGCCUUUGUUACAGGGCGUCUUAUCUCCGAUAAUUCUAUUAUUGCUUUCGAGUGCAUCGAUUUUAUUCAGUCUCUAAAGAAUAAUGAUCCUGCUUAUUGUGCAUACAAGCUAGACUUAUCAAAAGCUUAUGAUCGUGUUGAUUGGGAUUUUUUGGAAAAAGCCUUAGCCAAGUGGGGUUUCUCUGCAUCAUGGAUUACGCGUAUAAUGGCUUGUGUCACAUCGGUGAAAUAUUCGGUCAAGUUUAAUGGGAAGUUAUUGGAGUCCUUCAGACCGACUCGUGGGCUCCGUCAAGGUGAUCCUCUAUCACCUUUUUUG